CGCCCAGCAACUCCUAUCCCUACCUCCUCGUGGUACCGGCCGGUAACUAUGAGCAACCUUAGGGCGUGGUACCGGCCGGUAACUAUGAGCAACCUUAGGGAAGAUCGGGUAACCAACCCCGGUGGGAGCUUUGGUCGUAGGCUGACAAGAAAGG
rnacentral:ribozyme from 1 species